rnacentral:rRNA from 1 species
GACAGAGGAUGCAAGCGUUAUCCGGAAUGAUUGGGCGUAAAGCGUCUGUAGGUGGCUUUUUAAGUCCGCCGUCAAAUCCCAGGGCUCAACCCUGAACAGGCAGUGGAAACUAGCAAGCUUGAGUACGGUAGGGGCAAAGGGAAUUCCCGGUGUAGCGGUGAAAUGCGUAGAUAUCGGGAAGAACACCAAAGGCGAAAGCACUUUGCUGGGCCGAAACUGACACUGAUAGACGAAAGCUAGGGGAGCAAAUGGG